rnacentral:rRNA from 1 species
UAUGUGAUCGUCUCUCGCAUAUCAAUAAGCGGAGGAAAAGAAACUAACAAGGAUUCCCCUAGUAACGGCGAGUGAAGCGGAAAGAGCUCAAAUUUGAAAUCUUAAAGGGUUUCCCUUUACGAAUUGUAGUUUAAAGAAGUGUUUUCUGUUGAGGUUUUCGGUAAAAGUUCUUUGGAAUAGGACAUCAUAGAGGGUGAGAAUCCCGUAUUUGACCUUUACUUUCAACUUUGUGAUACACUUUCAAAGAGUCGGAUUGUUUGGGAAUGCAGUCCAAAAUGGGUGGUAAAUUUCAUCUAAAGCUAAAUAUUGGCGAGAGACCGAUAGCGAACAAGUACCGUGAGGGAAAGAUGAAAAGAACUUUGAAAAGAGAGUUAAACAGUACGUGAAAUUGUCAAAAGGGAAGCGUUUGACACCAGUGUUGUUUUUCUGAAAAUCAAUUAAAGAACUGUUUAUGCUAAGUUGUUUAGACUUUAUCAGCUAACUGUUUAGUUUUGAGCUUUUCUUUAAUGCACUUUUCAGUUAACAAGUCAACAUCAAUUUCUUUUGCUGUAAAAAAGCUUGAGGAAGGUGGCUUGAGAUUCGUCUUAAGUGUUUAUAGCCUCUUGCCUAUGCAGUCGGAGAGAUUGAGGUCUGCAGCGUAGAUCCUUCGGGGCUAAAUGCAUUUGUGCUAAGUUAUAGCAUUUUAUAGACAACUUGUUGACUAUGAUUUGUCUUGUAGCUUACUCGCUUAUGUUAUUUUACCUACGCUUAGGAUGUUGAUAUGCAUGACUGAUAU